UGGUUCCCACUUAGCACCCUGAUUUAAGAGAACUCCUAAGUUAAGCUAAAAAGGGAUGUGUUGCUGAUGACUCCAUCAUAACCUGCUUCUCUGGGUUUUGGUUACAGAAUCACUAAUUGAAAGAUAUCGCAAAACUUUAACCUCUUUAUCCUCAUUCUAUAGACCAUUCCUCCACAAGUGCAUAUCACUAUUCCUCAUGCCAGUGUGGAGUUUCGGAAUAGACUCUCUGUUACCCUGCUGGCUUUGUUGCUUUGGGAAAAAUACUUUCUAGAACUUACACAGUUGUAAAAUGGAAGGAGAAGAAAACACAUUUUGGAGGGACAUCAUUAUGUGAGUCAAAGUCAAAUUCAUUGACACACACAUGAAAUCUUAAUGUCUUUGCCAUUAACUAACUUGGAGAUACUACUUGGUUAAAUUCUUAAAGUUGAGUUUUCUAUCACUGUUUAUCUCAUUUAUGUUUAUAACAGAGUCAUUCCCGUAUUUCUUUG
rnacentral:lncRNA from 1 species